CGAAAUCGUAAACCCUAAUCCAUAAACUCUUAACCCUAAACCCUUAAACCUAAACCCUAAACCAUAGAUCCCAAACUUUAAAACCUAAAUCCUACUUUAGACUUCCGGAAUCCAGUUGCGGUUCUAGUUCUUAUGCUCAAUGAUACACA
rnacentral:sRNA from 1 species